rnacentral:rRNA from 1 species
UACGUAGGGUGCAAGCGUUAAUCGGAAUUACUGGGCGUAAAGCGUGCGCAGGCGGUGAUGUAAGACAGAUGUGAAAUCCCCGGGCUCAACCUGGGAACUGCAUUUGUGACUGCAUCGCUGGAGUACGGCAGAGGGGGAUGGAAUUCCGCGUGUAGCAGUGGAAAUGCGUAGAUAUGCGGAGGAACACCGAUGCGAAGGCAAUCCCCUGGGCCUGUACUGACGCUCAUGCACGAAAGCGUGGGGAGCAAACAGG